UGCCGCAGCUGUACCACCUGCCGAUUAGACUAGGUAAUCCACCUGAAGCUAAGCAGGUUUGGACAUGGCCAGUACUUGGAUGGAAGGAAAGCUGGGUUGCUGCUGGAA
rnacentral:rRNA from 1 species